rnacentral:rRNA from 1 species
UUAAUUUGACUCAAGACGGGAAAACUUACCAGGUUCAGACAUAGUAAGGAUUGACAGACUGAGAGCUCUUUCUUAAUUAAAUCAGUUAUCGUUUGGCUA